rnacentral:rRNA from 1 species
UACGGAGGGGGCAAGCGUUAUUCGGAAUCAUUGGGCGUAAAGAGUUCGUAGGCGGGGCGCUGUGUCCGGCGUGAAAUUUUUCGGCUCAACCGGAAAAAGCCGUCGGAAACUGGCGCCCUCGAGUCGGGUAGAGGCUAGCGGAAUUCCAGGUGUAGCGGUGGAAUGCGUAGAUAUCUGGAAGAACAUCUGUGGCGAAGGCGGCUAGCUGGGCCCGCACUGACGCUGAGGAACGAAAGCCAGGGGAGCAAACGGG